AUUUUAAAUCUAGCCUAAACAUAAAAUACUACUUCCUAAUAC
rnacentral:rRNA from 1 species